GAUGAACGCUGGCGGCGUGCUUAACACAUGCAAGUCGAACGGGAUCCAGGGAGUGCUUGCACUUUUUGGUGAGAGUGGCGAACGUGUGAGUAACACGUGAGUAACCUGUCCUUUUCUUUGGGAUAAGCUCCUGAAAGGGUGUUUAAUACCUUAUGUUCUGUCUGCCUCGCAUGGGGUGGGUGGGAAAGAUUUGUUUCGGUAAGGGGUGGGCUCGCGGUCUAUCAGCUUGUUGGUGGGGUGAUGGCUUACCAAGGCUUUGACGGGUAGCCGGCCUGAGAGGGUGGUCGGUCACAUUGGGACUGAGAUACGGCCCAGACUCCUGCGGGAGGCAGCAGUGGGGGAUAUUGCACAAUGGGCGCAAGCCUGAUGCAGCGACGCCGCGUGGGGGAUGAAGGCCUUCGGGUUGUAAACUUCUUUUGCUCUGAACAAGGCGCAUCUUUGGGGUGUGUUGAGUGUAGGGGUUGAUUAGCGCCGGCUAACUACGUG
rnacentral:rRNA from 1 species